AACAAACACAACAGCAAAGUAACAUUUCUUAGUUUAAUACACACAUGAUGAAGGUCUUUACACGCAUUGAUGCAGUCAGACUUUUUCGACAGGAGCGCGUGAUCGGUUGCCUCUUUACCAAUCAGAGCCCUGGAUUCUCUCUCUGUCCAAUAGUGAGGUGCGUGGGCGCUCCGCGGCACAGUGACGUUAGUUAACUUUCUAUUGGCCUACCUCUCACACCGCGCUGUCAAGGUGUUGCGAUGGUGUACCGACUCGUUUUGACAAAUGUGCAUAAAACCGUUCAGAUCACACAAUACUGACAACAAUACGUCAGGCUAUAUGUGGUAUAAAAGAUUACAGACACAACGGCGUAAAAUAGACUUUUGCCCACCUUCACUUUUACGUGUAUGAAUCAACAGGAGAAUGCAGCAGCCCUGGUCUCUCAUUUAUGUGGACUUUAAGGGGCGGCGUUGCUGUAAAUGAAGAGACAGCUCAGCCCACAUUGUUCAGUUCUCCACGCUAGAAACCGUCUGUGGCGCAUUAAAGAGAAGCAGACUUUUGCCUCCGUGCGGAAACUGACAGAGGAGCCAGUGGCGCACCGGAGCCCGAGCUCUGCCGCCUCCCUGCUCAGGGAGUGUGUCUGUGUGUGUGUGUCUCUGCGCUUUCAUGAUUAUGUGCAUGUCUUGAGGUUUCCCAUGGAAGACAAAAGAAUGACAACAGUACAAUAUGACCAAAAGCGUAUUUAUUGACAGAGUGACAGAGUGAAUGUUUCUCUGUGCGGUUGUGUCUCCUGGUCUCAGCGCCAUCCGCAGUAUUCUCCAUGUGCACACCGGCAGAACAGUCUGUACAUUGUGUUCCUGUGGUGGUGAUGCCUGCAGCGGUUAGAGAGCCUUUAGCUCGGGCCCCCUUCAGCUCUGUGUGACGACUGUGUCGUCAUGUGACCGGUUCGGUCUCCGCAGAGUUUCCCGUCGAAGCUGUUGAAGCAGAGCUCUCUCAGCGCGCACAGACCGGCCGCGCCGCACACGUCGCAGAUGUCGCUGUGACCGCACUCUGCUACUCUGCUCCGCCGAUGUUGAACAGCGCCAUCAGCAGUCUCGUGAUGGAUAUCACAGCAAGCCUCUCUUCUCUGGGACCGUAAAGGAUAACAACCAGCCCGAGAGGAUCCUCGUAGCCCAGCCGUGCAUCGCACCGAGAGACGAAGCUGAACAAAAACAGCUGGAGUGCAGCUGUGAGCCUUCCGAUGGUUCCCGACAUAGUUUGCUGUAGUUUGGAAGUCUGAGCAGUUGUAGCGGGAGAGCAGAGUUAGAGCUGGACUGAAAGGGAACGAUCAGUUCAGUGUUCUUAUAGAGGGAAACUUCGGCUUCUUAUCCCGGGAUUCCUUAUACCGACAAUUCAACUUUCGGAGUUUAAAUGUGAAAUCCGAAAAUGUGAAAAUAUCGCAAGUCGCUAAGACAGCAGAAUAUGUUUUCUUGUUGACGGGUUGCCCGCUGGAGGGUCUCAGUAUCCAGUCUGUCGGUGUUCUCCGCUUCACAUACGCGCCGGAACGGCUGCUGUUUGAGCGGCAACGGAGGCAUUAAUACUUCAAACUGAGACUCCAACCGAGGCUUCUCCAACCGAGGCUUCUCCAACCAACAACCCCCGCCCCUGUGUCCGGUGUUCAGCCGGCGCUGUCUUGGGUAUGUCUGCCGAUAUGGAUCCUGCGAUCGAAGCUCAUCUACUGGCCUGGGGCUUUGGUGACCACAUCCAGGCGAUCCGGGAGAAAGCGUUUGAUAUGAAAAUUGGACCUGCUACAAAGUGGAGAGCACAUGCUGAGAAGUACUAAGCAAAUCAAGAUAUAAUACAGCUGCUGCUGACUUGUCUGCGUUCACGGGCACUUUAAGGACAACUGAACUCGUACUGCCGAAUCCGUUCGUGUAGAGAGAGCAGCGGUGCAGCCCGUCCUCUGAGGAAGAGUGGGAGUGUUCAUUCGCGCAGCCACAGCUUCGGGAAACCAGACAGAAGCAGACAGCACGGAGACUUGAAGCGCACGGUCAUCAAGCGGCUGCUUUCACACACUGUGUAUCUGUGAUGUCGACGUUUGGUGCCGAAUCUUGGUCUGAAGACACGGAGGUGGAGUGUGGAAGCGGGUGCGGUGACAUCGGCUCCACCAGACUCUGCGAGCUGCGCUCUGACUUCCGCGUACAUCUCCAAAGAUUCUCCGUGGAUGGACACCGCGGACACCGAAGAGAUGAUUACACCGCCUCGGGAGUCGGAGCGGAGCUCUUCGGCCGAAGAGACAGACUGAAAGACAGAACACUUCGCCCGCCACCCAAAGUUUGUUGGACUUUGACACUUGAAGACCGCAAAAUAUGUUUUUCCCUGUUUACUUGACGGGACACAAAAAGAGUAACUAAUGAUGAACCGAAGUAUUCAGUCGUUUGUAGUUUUGGUGGUCAGCGACUUUAUGAUUCUUCGGGAACAAGUGCGGUACAACUGCCAGCUUCAGAGUCCGGCAAACUAUGGAUGGAGGAAGGUGGAGGUUUCUUCGUGCGCUCUCUGAAAUGCCGCUGCUCGGCUCGACAUGAGGCGGGCCUUUGAGGAGCAGCAUGGGCUGCCUGUUGCCGUUUGCCGGGACGCAGAGAGACUUGCUGUGUUCUGCGGAGGAUUUUCUCCUUCCGUGGUGGAGCAGCGCAGCGUCAGGCUGAGAGGCAGGAGGCGGGGAUCGAACCGCUGAAUAAGAUCCCGAGCUGUGCCUGCGCGGGUCACAUGUGCGCUCCGGUACUUGCAACUGUACAACAGCACAGAUACAUAGAUUAUUUUAGGUCACAAAAAGUCCCGUCAGACAAAGAAUAUGGGAAAGACAAUACAAACUUAUUUUUUCCACAAAUAUCAAUAGUGUCAUUUGGAGGUCAAACAAUAUAACAACCUGCAUUAUAUUUUAUUUAUUUAUUUUAUUUUCAUUAUAUUGUUCAGUGGAGGUGCGAGAGACCAAACCUUCCACACAGACAGUGCCGAACGCACCAUCCAUAGUGUGGCUGCAGGGCCGCACCAUUAUUAAGAUAGCAUCAGGUAGAUAAGAUGUACCGUGGGGCAAAUUCAAUGUGACACAGUAGCACAAGGCGGUGUAGUAAAAAAGAUCAUAUGAAAUAGGAAUAAUAUAUACAACAAAUAGAUCUGUGUGUCUAUACAUGUGCAAUGUUUCUAAAAUACAGCUAUACACUCACAGCAUCUGUUUGUACAUACAUAUGCAAUAUCUGUGGUGGUGACAGGUUAACUGUGGGUGGUGUACGGUUUCGAGUCUGAGUCAGUGGAGGUGCUGGGUGCUGUGGCGUUGUGGAGAUGAUGGCACGAAAGAGCUACGCGCUCUGAUGCAUCACCCACACGCAAUUCGUUUUGGAAAUAAUCUGUUAGCGAAACCAUUUCAGAAGAAAUGCAUCAGUGGAUCUGGAUGGUGCGCUUCUAUGCGCACAAUAAUUCCGCUACUGCAAAUGUUGUGAGACUUUACAGGACAGAACAUAUUUAUUGUUUAUACAUUUAAUUUUAAUUUGAACUUUUACUUAAGACAAACGUCCCGACAGCUCACUUUAUAGGUCUGUCUUAUUCGACUUGUAUUUGUGACUUCUAUGUCCGCAGAUUUGUGUUUGUUCUGUUCUGUUACUGUAAUAUGUUGUCAUGUCUCGCAUUAUGUCUUUUACGAAAGUGGCUGGUCUGACAUGGUGUUGUGUUUUCACUGCCAUACUUGGAUCUUAGCUCGUCAUCGACUGGUGGAAGCCUUCUGUGAGCCGUGCGUGAACGUACCUGCUGCUGAUUUGUCUGCAUUCACAGGCGCUUUAAGGAGUGGCACAGCUUAGAGUGCUGAAAGAAGGGAGAUUACUCACCUCCCAUUUUUAUGAUAGAAACCGAAUGUGGUGCGCAUUAAAGAGAAGCAGGCGGAAUGACUUUGGCCUUCUCUUUUUUGCUGUGCUCAUCCGGCUACACUACUGAGGUGUCUUCAGACCAAGAUUCAUCACAGAACAUCGACAGCGACACAACAGCACAGAUACAUAGCUGAGAUUAGGUCACAAAAAAUCCCGUCAGGCAAAGAAUAUGGGAAUUGAAAAAAAGAAAGAGAGAAAAUAAAUACAUAUUAUUUUCCAAAUACAAAAACUAAUAAUAGAAACUACAACAUUAAUAAUCAAACAAAUACCAAUACAAUAUAUUUGUAGGUCAGUCAAACAAUAUAAUAGCAUGCGUUAUAUUGCUCACUGGAGGUGCAGAGAGACUGUUUAAAUCCUGUCCAAAUCUUCCACAGAGAUCAACACAGUCAGUGCGGAACCCACCAUCCGCAGUGAUGUCACCGACUCACAGCGAAGAGGCCCACUAGAUCCCGAGCUCUGCCAUCUCUCUACUCAGCACGGUCCUGAGUAUAAACGCACAGUCAACUGCCCGCUGCCCCGCUCCAGUAAGUGAUCGACAUCAGGAAAUGGGAAGAAGAAGUGCUAUAGGCUAUUCGUCAUUCAGCAGAGGAGUUGAAGGCAGCUUGGACAGGGCCAACGAACUUAAUCUGUUCUUUAACAGAUUCCAUGCACGGGCUCCUGCUCAUCCCCCCUCUAACUCAGCUGCUGUCCUCUGAGUCCACUGCUCCCCUCUCCUCCAUCUUCCUGGGAGAGUCCUACUUCCCCCUCAACUGGCUCUCAGGCUAAAAUGGGAUGCUAAAAGCCUGUCCCCCCCCAGCUAUGUGGAGUCCUUCAGCAUGUCUUCAACCCGAGCCUGAGUCUUCAAAGGGUCCCUAUUCUGUGGAAGACAUCUUGCCUCGUUCCUGUGCCGAAGACGCAGCGUCCCAGUGGCUCCAAGGACUACAGACCGGUGGCACUGACCUCCCAGAUAAUGAAGACUCUGUAGAGACUGGUGCUGGAACAGCUGCGGCCCAUGGUCAGACCCCUCUUGGACCCGCUUCAGUUCGCCUACCAGCCCCGGCUGGGAGUUGAGGACGCCAUCGUCUUCCUGCUGAACCGCAUCUACACUCACCUGGUGGGGAACUUUGUCUCAUGUUGUGAGCAGAACUAUCUGUAGCUCAAUGCGACAAAGUCUAAGGAGCUGGUUGUAGACCUACAAAGGGCCAAGGCACCAGUGACCCCGGUUUCCAUCCAGGGGGUCAGUGUGGAUAUCAAGCUCUUUACAGGAAGGGCCAGAGUCGCCUCUAUUUCCUGAGGAGGAUGAGGUCCUUCAACAUCUGCCGGACAAUGCUGAAGAUGUUUUAUGAGUCUGUGGUGGCCAGUGCUAUCCUGUAUGCUGUUGCAUGCUGGGGCAGCAGGUUGAGGGUAGCGGACUCCAACGGCUCAACAAACUGAUCCGUAAGGCCAGUGACAUUGUGGGGAUGGAGCUGGACUCUCUGUCAGUGGUGUCAAAGAGGAGGAUGCUGGCCAAACUACAUGCCAUCUUGGACAGUGUCUCCCACCCACUCCAUGACGUGCUGGUCAAACAAAGGAGCACCUUCAGCGAAAGACUCAUCCCCCCAAAAUGCACCACAGAACGCCACAGGAAGUCAUUCCUGCCUGUGGCCAUCAAACUCUUUAACUCCUCCCUCUAAGUGUCGGGGAAACUAGCAUUGAUAUUACUCAACUGGACAUUGGAUCAUUAACAUUACUGCAAUACCUGAAAUAUUGUGCAAUAUUCUCAAUAUUCUCCUACUCCUGUGCAAUAUACUCUGUUCUCAGUUGAAUUAUUCCAUGUUUUUUUUAUAUUUAUUAAACUAUAUUACUUCCUAAUAAGCUGGUUCAAUCUGCUACACUCAACUUGACAGUGCACAUGAUUGCACUACUAUUACUAAUAUUAUUACAUUGUACUGUACACUUACUUAGCUUUAUACUUCAUACCCACCUGUACUUAUUUUGAUUAGGUGUAUUAUAGUGGAUCAUAUUUCGACUUGCUUGCAACAUCAACACAGACAUACAAAGACUGGGACAGUAAGCCACCAGGACAGCUGUGACCUGGAUCUGGAUGGUGCGCUUCUAUGCGCACAAUAAUUCCGCUACUGCAAAUGUUGUGAGACUUUACAAGACAGAACAUAUUUAUUGUUUAUACAUUUAAUUUUAAUUUGGACUUUUACUUAUAAGACAAAUGUCCCGACAGCUCACUUUAUAGGUCUGUCUCAUUCGACUUGUAUUUGUGACUUCUAUGUCCGCAGAUUUGUGUUUGUUCUGUUCUGUUACUGUAAGAUGUUGUCAUGUCUUGCAUUAUGUCUUUUAUGUAUUGGAAAAGUUAAUAAAAACAACUUGAAUUACAAAAAA